ACGGGGCACCCGGGACCUCCGGCGGCCGACCCGCGAGCCUCUUAAAGGGGCCGCGCCGGCCUGCGGGGCCCACGGCGGGGCCGGGUAGGGGCGUGAGGGAGGGGUGCGACGCCCGUCGCGUCCACUCACAAACGUUUCGAGGAACAGGGGACCCCAACAGAGCGGGCCAGACCGGCGCGUAGCCUAAGUCCCGGCGAUCGGAAAAGCAC